GCAUCGAUUUACUGCCAUUAUCUAUCUGAUAAAAUGAAAUCAAGGCUUGAGCAGGUAGGUAGUAAGUCUCCUUCAGUGUGGAAAAGUGAAGAAGGACAAAGCAGAUUCCUUUUUGAUGUAAAACGCAAGCCAUAUGUUCAAUCUGAUGUAAAUGGAAAUUUUUCAUGGGCAUAGCUGUUUUUUGCCUGGUUUCUUUUGCUUCAAAAUCAACAUAAUGUCCUUUAUAAACGCCGCAAUAGUCAGUCGUUGAAGCUUGUCUAAAGUACGCUUCAACGAUUUUUGCCCGACUGCGUUUAGGGUAAUCCACUUUGACAAUUUGGACAGGAGUAGGUUUUUUGUGAAUGACAGCUAUUUGACGAGAUAAAUAAUAAUCAUUUGUCGCGUUGAUAGCAGCUUCAAAGGACAUACCUCUAUUGGCGAAGUCCACCUUAUUUUGCUUUUGAACGGAACUUACUUUUUGUCGAAUAAGAUUAUGAGGAUAAUUAACCAUUGUUCUCCUAAUA
rnacentral:antisense_RNA from 1 species